rnacentral:misc_RNA from 1 species
CAAGCAGAACUUAUCAAAGCCUGGUUCCUAUCUGGAUUUGAAACAAAAGCUUGAAAAGCUAGACGUGGUUAACAAUCUCAUUGAGCAAAAGAAGAAAAGUGAGGAAAUUAAAACAGAGAUCAACAACAAAAUCCCAUCAGAGACGAAAGAAAAACUGAAACAAUUGAAGGAUACUUGGGAAAAUACCAUCUCUAAUGGUGCCCCAAUUGACAACAACCUCAUAGAAGAACUGGAAAGAAUCAAAGCAGAGCUUGUGAAUGUCUUAAAGACAGCAAAUUUAG